UAUUUGCAACUAAAUACAAUCACACAUGAUAUAUCUGAGUCAUAAUGUGCAAAUACACAGAUCUCAUCUAAGUUAAUUUUUGCGAUUAAAGUAAAGUUUGUUAUUACCGAAUAUUUGUAACCAAAGAAAUGGAUUAAGUUUACAGUGUAAUUGGGCAUGACAUGUAUGAUUGGUCCGUGUAUUUAUCUGGCAAUUGGAUUUUCUGUCCUGAAACGGGUAUUGAAAAACAAAUAACGAGUGGUUAUUUGAUUUUCGUUUUAAAAUACAAAAAUUGAAAUACAAGGCGUUUUUCCUUUUCAUGAUCAAAAGGGAUAUACGAAAUUUAAAAAAUGCUUUGAUUUUCAUUUUAUAUUUAGAAUAAGAAAAAAAAAUCAGUAAGAGACAGAAAGACAAAAGGCCCGUUGUUUUUUUUUUUUCAUUUUCUGAGACCGGAAGUGGUCAUCAGCAAAUGUGGAGCCGAACGACAAGAUUCUCAGGGGGCGAAGCCAGAGAGCAGUGAUUGGUCAGACCAUAGAUAUAUAUAGAAGACAGUGCGCUAGCGUAUCUAGUCUGCUAUAUAUAUCUAUGGCCGGCACGUCUGGUAGCAUCUCUGGCUACUGUUGACCUUGUUUUUGGAGUAAAACACGGUGGAAGCUGAAUUAGUGAGGAUGACUCCUGCUCCUGUCAUCUCUAAGCUCCUCACACAUCUUUACCUGCACAUGAGGAAAAUCUCUCCUGUAGAAUGCAGAUGUUCAGAGGGAGAUGAUGCCACAUCUGGUCCAGCUGAUGGAAGGUCUUGAAGUUCUCUGACUGGCCUCGACUGAAGAUGGUCGUCUCACUGGAUUUAAGGUUCAGAUGCUCAGUAACAAACUCCACCAAUGAGCCAACAGGGAAGCUUUAGGUUUAUUAAAUGUUGCUAUGAAGGUUCGCUGUUUUUCUUUGUGAAUGCAAUGUGCUCCAACUGAAACUUGAAUUAGAACUUAGAAGUAAAUCCUUCCAUCUGAAAGGAUUUAGUUGCAUUAAUAACCUCAUAACAUUCUAAUUUUUAUUCCAGUCUUGGUUGGAAAUAGAAUCUCUGUAUUGAUUCAGGUAAAAACUGAACUUCACAGCAUGUUGGAGCAAAACAACCAGAUGAAAACUGUGAUGGUGUUGGAUUGUCAGACCGUAAUGUUGCAGCUCAAAGCAGCUUUUCUAGUUCAGUUCAUUCUGACAUUCAGCUAUGAAUCAACACAGCAGAUGGUGAUCCAUGCUGUGGAAGUCUCACAUCUCCUGAUUUAAUGGAGCUGCUUUGCACUUUUUACACUGUUUAUUCACCAACACUUUAUUUAAUAAAAGUCCCAUCUAGUUUUCAUGAGGAAUGUGAUGUUUUAAUUUCUCUGUGAAUAACUGCAGUCUAAUGCAACAGCUGGAACUGUAACAUCUGUCCUGAUAUUGAUCAUGAAGUAUUGAUCAGAAUACUUAUGGUCAGCAGUCAUCCCUGAAGUUUUACAUUAAAAUCUUUACUUGUGUUUUGAACUUUGGUAAGAAGCAGAAACUUGAGCGUUGCCAUGGAUACAUGAGUGUUAAGUUCUGUCCAUGAUUCCAUUUUGGGAAAUGCAGUCCAGCAGAUGAGUUUGUUUUUACUGACAGCUACCAUUCAGUCUGAGAUAUUAAAAAUAAAUGAAUGUGCAUAAUGUGGAAAUGAACAGAUUCUAUUUUUAUUUAUUCCUACAAGUGCUGCAGGUAAAGUUCCCGAAUGUGGAGGAAUUUAGGCUCACAAUCACAGACAAUAACUAUUAUCUGAAAGUCACUUUAUUGUUGUUUAUCAGCACAAUACAAAAAGAUUCAUGUCAGAAAUAUUCCAGUUAAGACUCUAGAAUAUCAUGAUUUAUGUAAAUUUACCUCAAUAAUAUAAAUGUUCAGGUUAAGAUUGUGCAGUGAUAUUUAUUAUGUAAGUUUAGCUGAUUAAAGUUUAUGACUCUGCACUAAAAUAUUAUUUAAAUUGACAUCAUUAUUAUAAUAUUUAGGGUCAGACCCUACAGUAUUGAGAUUAAGAAAUCAAAUAUUCUAUAAAAUGUAAAUACACUGAACUAAUUUGGAUAUAUUUAAGUGAGACUCUACAAUAUUAUUUGUCACAAAUCUAUCUAAAUCAAAAUUUUAAUCGUUUUUACUCCAAACAUUUACUGGACUGAUUUAAAUAUUAAAAUCACUCCUUUCUAAUCCUCUGCUAUACGUUCAAAACUGAGGCCUGACAUAGAAACACACAAGUAUCUGUUUGAAGGAACUUCUGCAGAGUCCUGGUUCCAGAACAUGAUGAUAGAAUUAUAGACGAACUUUAACAAAAGCUGCCUGAGAGUUUACAGGUUUUUAUGUUGGAUUUCUUCAGUAAUUUAAUGAUAGUUAUCAGCAAAAAUCAAGUGUUCAUUUGAUGAACUUCAUUUCCUAAAACAUCCAGAAUUGGGGCUCAUAUCUUUGGCAGUUGUAAAGUUUCUGCUCCUUCAAAGUUCACAACACAAUGAAUGAAUUCCUAAAACACUCUCAAUGCUGGAGAGCAUUUGAUGUUGAAGCAGUGAUCGGUUUUUCUGUUUCUUCUCUGGAGAUGCACAAUGAGGGACGUCUGCAGAGACUGAGAACAUCCUUACAUGAGGAAAAAGACUAUUGAAGACUACAAUGACAAAAACUAUCCAGACAGCAGAUGGCAUGCAUUCAAGGUGGGCUCUGAACAUUUGAUCUGGAACAGGAAUUCUAUCACGGCAGCAUGAGUUUCAUUUCAGUCUGUAGCUGCUGAAUUCAUGGAUAAAUCAUCUGGCACUAGAGAGGAAGACCAUCAAACAUCCACGUCAGCUGAUGGAGGUCCAAGAGUCUCACCGAACAAACAAACUACAGAGUGGAGACCUCGAAUCUGAUUGGACGGCCUCCUAUUCAGCCACAUGUGUGAACAAAUGCCUCUAAGUUGAUUUGUUUUCUAAAAUAAAUCUAGUUUGAGUCCUAA